rnacentral:lncRNA from 1 species
GACCAGAAGCUCUUCUGUCUCUUCUUCUCCGUGUCCCAGCAUACGGAAGAGUCCCUGGAACCCAGAGGAUUCAGGGGCUGGAGCUACCGUCUCGCCACCACGUGGAGAGCCUGAGACAGCCAACAGCGUGCAAGCUACAGAGAAAGGAGAGACGUUUGAUUACAUCGUGCCAGCCCUGAAUCUGGCCAUGCCUGAAGCUGGGGCUGCCCUUGGUCUUCUCAGUUGCAGGACCCAGAUGCACCCUAAUCCGAUCUGACUGGUGUCCUUAUAAAAAGAGGACACUUGGAUGCAUUUACAGAGGGAAGACCAUGUGAAGACACAGAGAAGACUGCCAUCUGCAAGCCAAGGAGAGAGGCCUCAGAAGGAAACAACCCUGCUGACAAUUUGACCUGUAUUUCUAGCCUCCAGAACUGUGGGGAAAUACAUUUCUAUGGUUUAAGUCACCCAGUCUGUGCUACUUUGUUACGGUAACCCUAGCAAACUAACUCAGGGUUUGCGCGUUAGUGCUUCUUAAUUCUCC